rfam:Lupinus angustifolius cultivar Tanjil chromosome LG03, whole genome shotgun sequence.
AAUCCAUGAUUGAGACAUUUCCUCAACAACAUCUGGAAACAUUCCCAAGCCUCAUAGAAUGUCUCUUCUGUACCUUGUCUGAAUGUUGAUAACUCAAACAUGGCGU